rnacentral:rRNA from 1 species
UCUGGUGACAAUGGCAAGGAGGUCACACCUGUUCCCAUGCCGAACACAGAAGUUAAGCUCCUUAGCGCCGAUGGUAGUCGGACUGACGUUCCGCUCCAGGCAAAUAUCGUAUGGAUGCGAUGA